ACGAACGCUGGCGGCGUGCUUAACACAUGCACGUCGAACGGAAAGGCCCUGCUUUUGUGGGGUGCUCGAGUGGCGAACGGGUGAGUAACACGUGAGUAACCUGCCCUUGACUUUGGGAUAACUUCAGGAAACUGGGGCUAAUACCGGAUAGGAGCUCCUGCUGCAUGGUGGGGGUUGGAAAGUUUCGGCGGUUGGGGAUGGACUCGCGGCUUAUCAGCUUGUUGGUGGGGUAGUGGCUUACCGAGGCUUUGACGGGUAGCCGGCCUGAGAGGGUGACCGGCCACAUUGGGACUGAGAUACGGCCCAGACUCCUACGGGAGGCAGCAGUGGGGAAUAUUGCACAAUGGGCGGAAGCCUGAUGCAGCAACGCCGCGUGCGGGAUGACGGCCUUCGGGUUGUAAACCGCUUUCGCCUGUGACGAAGCGUGAGUGACGGUAAUGGGUAAAGAAGCACCGGCUAACUACGUG
rnacentral:rRNA from 1 species